CGCGAUUCACAUCUCAACCGAAAUAUUUGUAAAGCGAUACGAACGAGUUACGAGAUGAAAUCCGCAAUGUUUAAAAACGCGAUUCAUAGCACACAUACUUUGAUCUCGUUUUCAUAUCGCUAGUUCGUAUUUGGAUGGCUUGAGUGAAAUGAAUGAAACUAUAUUUUUUUUAAUUGCCAUGCAAAAAUUAUAAAUACUACCACUAAUUGUUUUAAAUAAUUUUGUUCCUACAAUAUAUUUUGUUGGAAUUAGUGUCGAUAGCAAGUAUCAAGAAACAGCUUUUUAAUUCAACGUUGAAGAAAUUCAUAUCCUGUGGCACUUUUGACAGCCGCCAUGUUUUCUCCAUAAAAACAUUGAUUUUCUUUGCUCAUUUUCGUGUCAACGUAGUUUUUUUGGAAAAUAAGAAGAAAGGAAGUUUAACUUACUUAGAGAAAUACGACUGAGACAUAAACACAAGCAGCAGCCGAUGUGCUUGAGUUGCAGAAGGAGCAACUGCGUUGUGAGAGCGCCACGGCUUCAGCCCUCACAAUGAUAGCUGAUUAGCUGAAGUAAUGAACAGACAGGCUGCAGUCAAUGAGAGGCUUCUUGAGGAGGUGUUCCUCAUAUGGAAAUCAUUUUAGCGGCGACGCAGUUGCGCGACCAGUGAAGCUCUGGCUCCGCGACCGGCGUGGAGCGCGCGGUCCGCGCGGCGCUGCUGCGGCUGCUGCGCGGGAGGAUCCCGUCCCUGCGCAUGCGCCUGGCCUUCAAUGACCUCACGCCUCUCUUCUUCCUCUUCUUCAUGCGUCAAU